GGCGGAUGUAGCCAAGGGGAUCAGGGCAGGGGAUUUGUGAACCCCCCAUGCGGGAA
rnacentral:tRNA from 1 species